AGAGUUUGAUCCUGGCUCAGGAUGAACGCUAGCGGCAGGCCUAACACAUGCAAGUCGAGGGGUAGCAGGAUAAAGCUUGCUUUAUUGCUGACGACCGGCGCACGGGUGCGUAACGCGUAUGCAACCUACCUUAUACUGGGGUAUAGCCCGGAGAAAUUCGGAUUAAUCCCCCAUAGUAUUAUCGGAUCGCAUGGUUUGAUAAUUAAAGGUUACGGUAUAAGAUGGGCAUGCGUCCCAUUAGCUAGAUGGUGAGGUAACGGCUCACCAUGGCGACGAUGGGUAGGGGGCCUGAGAGGGUGGUCCCCCACACCGGUACUGAGACACGGACCAGACUCCUACGGGAGGCAGCAGUGAGGAAUAUUGGUCAAUGGGCGCAAGCCUGAACCAGCCAUGCCGCGUGCAGGAAGACGGUCCUAUGGAUUGUAAACUGCUUUUAUUCGGGAAUAAACCUCCUUACGUGUAGGGAGCUGAAGGUACCGAAUGAAUAAGCACCGGCUAACUCCGUGCCAGCAGCCGCGGUAAU
rnacentral:rRNA from 1 species